GCACGCCUGAGCUCUUAAAUCCACAACACACCUGUGAACCCACCGUAGGCCUUCGGGCUUAUGUAUCAUAUACUCUGAAUGUGUCAUAGAAUGUUCAUGUUGCCUUAAAACGCAAUCAAAUACAACUUUCAACAACGGAUCUCUUGGCUCUCGCAUCGAUGAAGAACGCAGCGAAAUGCGAUAAGUAAUGUGAAUUGCAGAUUUUCAGUGAAUCAUCGAAUCUUUGAACGCACCUUGCGCUCCUUGGUAUUCCGAGGAGCAUGCCUGUUUGAGUGUCAUUAAAUUCUCAACCCCACCGAUUUGUUUUGGGGGGAUUGGACUUGGAGUGUGCUGGCGAAGGUCGGCUCCUCUUUAAAUGCAUCAGUGGAGAGAAACUUGCCCCAGUGUGAUAAUCCUGUUGUGCUGUGGUGGGUGAAAGUCUGCUUUCAACUGUCCUCCGGGACGAUACACCAUCUUAUUUUGACCUCAAAUCAGGUAGGACUACCCGCUGAACUUAAGCAUAUCAAUAAGCGGAGGAAAAGAAACUAACAAGGAUUCCCCUAGUAACUGCGAGUGAAGCGGGAAAAGCUCAAAUUUAAAAUCUGGCGGUCGUCCUGGCCGUCCGAGUUGUAAUCUGGAGAAGUGUUUUCCGCGUCGGACCGUGUACAAGUCUUCUGGGAACGGAGCGUCAUAGAGGGUGAGAAUCCCGUCUCUGACACGGACUGCCGAUGCUUUAUGUGAUACGCUC
rnacentral:rRNA from 1 species